rnacentral:rRNA from 1 species
GACGAACCGUGCAAACGUUAUUCGGAAUCACUGGGCUUAAAGCGCGUGUAGGCGGAUGGGCACGUCGGAACCUGAAAGCCCCCGGCUCAACCGGGGAAGUGGGGCCGAAACGACCCGUCUCGAGGGACGUAGGGGGAUCUGGAACUUCCGGUGGAGCGGUGAAAUGCGUUGAGAUCGGAAGGAACGCCCGUGGCGAAAGCGAGAUCCUGGACGUCUACUGACGCUGAGACGCGAAAGCUAGGGGAGCAAACGGG